rnacentral:rRNA from 1 species
CCUACGGGGGGCAGCAGUGGGGAAUAUUGCACAAUGGGGGAAACCCUGAUGCAGCGACGCCGCGUGAGUGAAGAAGUAUUCCGGUACGUAAAGCUCUAUCAGCAGGGAAGAAAAAAAGUCCUUUGGACUUUGGACGGUACCUGACCAAGAAGCCCCGGCUAACUACGUGCCAGCAGCCGCGGUAAUACGUAGGGGGCAAGCGUUAUCCGGAUUUAUUGGGUUUAAAGGGUGCGCAGGCGGCCUGUUAAGUCAGCGGUAAAAGCCCGGGGCUCAACCCCGGCGAGCCGUUGAAACUGGCGGGCUGG